rnacentral:rRNA from 1 species
UACGUAGGGUGCGAGCGUUAAUCGGAAUUACUGGGCGUAAAGCGUGCGCAGGCGGUUCGUUAUGUCCGUUGUGAAAGCCCCGGGCUCAACCUGGGAAUGGCAAUGGAAACUGGCGGGCUAGAGUGUGGCAGAGGGGGGUGGAAUUCCGCGUGUAGCAGUGAAAUACGUAGAGAUGCGGAGGAACACCGAUGGCGAAGGCAGCCCCCUGGGCUGACACUGACGCUCAGGCACGAAAGCGUGGGGAGCAAACAGG